UACGGAGGGUGCAAGCGUUACUCGGAAUCACUGGGCGUAAAGGGAGCGUAGGCUGACUUUUAAGUCAGGUGUGAAAUCCAAUGGCUCAACCAUUGAACUGCACUUGAAACUGGGAGUCUAGAGUUCAGAAGGGGCAGAUGGAAUUAGUGGUGUAGGGGUAAAAUCCGUAGAUAUCACUAGGAAUAUCAAAAGCGAAGGCGAUCUGCUGGGAUGAUACUGACGCUGAGGCACGAAAGCGUGGGGAGCAAACAGG
rnacentral:rRNA from 1 species